rnacentral:rRNA from 1 species
AACUAGGGAUAAGGAACUCGGCAAAUUAGCGGGCGUAACUUCGGGAUAAGCCCUGCCUGGCGAUAGUCAGGCCGCAGCGAAAGAAGCGGGGGGGACUGUUUAUCAAAAACACAGCUCUCUGCGAACUCCAAAAGAGGAGGUAUAGAGGGUGAUGCCUGUCCGGUGCCAGAAUGUUAAGCACUGGGGUGCAAGCCCUGGUGUGAAGCACUGGUGAACGACGGCCGUAACUAUGACGGUCCUAAGGUAGCGAAAUACCUUGUCGGGUAAGUUCCGACGCGCAUGAACGGCAUAACCAUCUCCGCACUGUCUCAUCCCUAGACUCGGUGAAAUUACAAUCUCGGUAAAAAUGCCGAGUGAGCGCGGUUAGACGGAAAGACCCUGUGAAGCUUUACUGCAGCUUGGUAUUGGGUCGGGGUACAUCAUGCGCAGAAUAGGUGGGAGGCUGAGAAGCCUGGGCUCUGGCUCAGGUGGAGCCGCCAGUGAGAUACCACCCAUGGUGUAUUCUGGCUCUAACCCCAGAAGACUGGGGGACAGUGCCUGGUAGGCAGUUUGCCUGGGGCGGGAGCCUCCUAAAGAGUAACGGAGGCGUACAAAGGUUGGCUUAGCACGGAUGGAAACCGUGCGGGACGUGUAUUCGCGAAAGCUAGCUUGACUGUGAGACUGACAGGUCGAACAGAGUGGAAACACGGUGAAAGUGAUCCGGAUCUUCCGAGUGGAAGGGGAUCCGCUCAACGGAUAAAAGCUACUCCGGGGAUAACAGGCUAAUGGGAUCCAAGAGUUCACAUCGACGAUUCCGUUUGGCACCUCGAUGUCGGCUCGUCGCAUCCUGGGGCUGUAGUAGGUCCCAAGGGUUGGGCUGUUCGCCCAUUAAAGCGGGACGCGAGCUGGGUUCAGAACGUCGUGAGACAGUUCGGCCCCUAUCUACCGUGCUCGUAUGCGACUUGAGGGGAUGUGCUCCUAGUACGAGAGGACCGGAGCGCACUGGUCGCUGGUGAACCAGUUGUCCGAGAGGGCACAGCUGGGUAGCUAAGCCGGGAAAGGAUAACCACUGAAAGCAUCUAAGUGGGAAGCCAACCCCAAGAUAAGGUCGCACAAUCGGCACCUUCGAGACUAGGAGGUUGAUAGGCUGGCGGUGUAAGCCUGGCAACAGGUUGAGCUGACCAGUACUAACAAGCCGAACGGACUUUAUCC